AUACGUAGGGGGCGAGCGUUGUCCGGAAUUACUGGGCGUAAAGGGUGCGUAGGCGGCCUUUUAAGUCAGAUGUGAAAGGCUGCGGCUUAACCGCAGGACUGCAUUUGAAACUGGAAGGCUUGAGUGUCGGAGAGGGUAGUGGAAUUCCCAGUGUAGCGGUGAAAUGCGUAGAUAUUGGGAGGAACACCAGUGGCGAAGGCGACUACCUGGACGAUAACUGACGCUGAGGCACGAAAGCUAGGGGAGCAAACAGGAUUAGAUACCCUGGUAGUCCACGCCGUAAACGAUGGAUACUAGGUGUAGGAGGUAUCGACCCCUUCUGUGCCGGAGUUAACACAAUAAGUAUCCCACCUGGGGAGUACGGCCGCAAGGUUGAA
rnacentral:rRNA from 1 species